rnacentral:rRNA from 1 species
AUUGAACGCUGGCGGCAGGCCUAACACAUGCAAGUCGAGCGGGGUUUUCGGACCUAGCGGCGGACGGGUGAGUAAUGCGUAGGAAGCUGCCCGAUAGAGGGGGAUACCAGUUGGAAACGACUGUUAAUACCGCAUAAUGUCUACGGACCAAAGUGUGGGACCUUCGGGCCACAUGCUAUCGGAUGCGCCUACGUGGGAUUAGCUAGUUGGUGAGGUAAUGGCUCACCAAGGCGACGAUCUCUAGCUGGUUUGAGAGGAGGAUCAGCCACACUGGAACUGAGACACGGUCCAGACUCCUACGGGAGGCAGCAGUGGGGAAUAUUGGACAAUGGGGGGAACCCUGAUCCAGCCAUGCCGCGUGUGUGAAGAAGGCCUUAUGGUUGUAAAGCACUUUAAGCGAGGAGGAGGCUCUUUUGGUUAAUACCCAAGAUGAGUGGACGUUACUCGCAGAAUAAGCACCGGCUAACUCUGUGCCAGCCGCCGCAGUAAGAC